rnacentral:tRNA from 1 species
GCCCGAGUGGCGGAAUGGUAGACGCAGCGGAUUCAAAAUCCGCCGGUAGCGAUACCGUGCGAGUUCGAGUCUCGCCUCGGGCACCA